CCAANGUAUGCUUUGGAAACUGUUAGACUUGAGUGCAGAAGGGGAGAGUGGAAUUCCAUGUGUAGCGGUGAAAUGCGUAGAUAUAUGGAGGAACACCGGUGGCGAAAGCGGCUCUCUGGUCUGUCACUGACGCUGAGGCUCGAAAGCGUGGGUAGCGAACAGGAUUAGAUACCCUGGUAGUNCACGCCGUAAACGCUGAGUGCUAGGUGUUAGGUCCUUUCCGGGACUUAGUGCCGACGCUAACGCAUUAAGCACUCCGCCUGGGGAGUACGACCGCAAGGUUGAAACUCAAAGGAAUUGACGGGGGCCCGCACAAGCGGUGGAGCAUGUGGUUUAAUUCGAAGCAACGCGAAGAACCUUACCAGGUCUUGACAUCCCGAUGCCCGCUCUAGAGAUAGAGUUUUUCUUCGGAACAUCGGAGACAGGUGGUGCAUGGUUGUCGUCAGCUCGUGUCGUGAGAUGUUGGGUUAAGUCCCGCAACGAGCGCAACCCUUAUUGUUAGUUGCCAUCAUUAAGUUGGGCACUCUAGCGAGACUGCCGGUAAUAAACCGGAGGAAGGUGGGGAUGACGUCAAAUCAUCAUGCCCCUUAUGACCUGGGCUACACACGUGCUACAAUGGUUGGUACAACGAGUCGCAAGCCGGUGACGGCAAGCUAAUCUCUGAAAGCCAAUCUCAGUUCGGAUUGUAGGCUGCAACUCGCCUACAUGAAGUCGGAAUCGCUAGUAAUCGCGGAUCAGCACGCCGCGGUGAAUACGUUCCCGGGCCUUGUACACACCGCCCGUCACACCACGAGAGUUUGUAACACCCAAAGUCGGUGAGGUAACCAUUUAUGGGGCCAGCCGCCUAAGGUGGGANGGAU
rnacentral:rRNA from 1 species